ACACUUCAAUGUUGAAAAACAAAUGGAAACAGUCCAAUUCAUUCCUUCCUCUCUCUCCUUAAUUUAAAGUUCCAGCUAAACAUUGACCUUUCUCACACAUGAAAAGAAAAAGUUAACAGUGAGGGAAAUCCCUCAGGUGUGAUGAUUUUGGCCAAGUGAACCUGUCCCAAUAGCUUCAGGGUCAUCCUGCUAGAGUUAUAAAGAACCAUCCUGCUCCCUGGGAACACAGUCUUCUUGGGCAUAAAAUUUCUCCAGCAUGCGUGUGCUUCAGCUUCUCUUCAAGACCAGCCCUGCUGCCCUUCUCCUGGGCCUCUGCCUAACACUGUGGACUGUCCCAACUCAAGGACAAAUGUUAAAAACACAUUGGAGGUCUCUGACACAGUCAUUUUUCCUUAUGGUAAUUUUCGUUUUACCAGCUGUCUGUGUGGUGUUAGUACAAGAAGAUUCUUCUGGGAGAUAGAAGCACCUGAAAAUGGGAUCAUAACAGGGAAGGCUCAAGUUGUGUCAGAGGAGAAUAUAUGCCCUCCUGGUGUGAAUAUCUCCACCCCUGUUUAUGAAGUUGUUAUCACACGUGAUGUCAUUAUAACACUCUGAUCUGGAAAAUCUGCCAUUUCUGAGUUGGUGGGCAUCUGUGUAGACUGGAAAAUAAACUUCCUACUGACUUCUCACUGUCUUAUCUGUGUUCUUUCCCCAAAACUCAGUACUGUGUCUACUCAGACAUCCCCCAGUCCUAAGGAACCAAUAUUUUUA
rnacentral:lncRNA from 1 species